rnacentral:lncRNA from 1 species
AUUCAGGGACAUGGCGAGGCCCACUUCGCGAGCCCUGGCCGUGAGCACAGCGCGUCUGCAGGUCCUUUCUCCUGCUUUUCCCUUUCCCCUCCUGCUUUUCCUGGCGACAGGGUGAUCAGAGACGGGGAGCGAAGAGCCUCCCAGAGCCCUUCUCCCCUUGGCAGCCUUCGGCCGCAUCCGAGACCUCGGCCCAGCAAACGCAGCCUCCCUGCGUGGCACAGAGAUGACAGCGCUGAGACCAGAUGAACGGAUUACCGGACGACACCCAGCAAGUCCAGUAUUUCCCGAAAAAGCCAAUCAUCAACUUAACCCCAGAUGAUGGCUGGGGGAAUUGAGCGCUCUAACGGAAAGACGCAGGUUUGGGAGAGAAGCAAGAUCUUCCGUCCCAAGCGUGGAACGACUGUGCUCAGAACUGGGAACCCAGGACAUAGAAUGAAUGGCUGACCUGCCUCGUACGCUGUGGACAUUUGCUCUCGAGGCCCGGGAGGUCCACUGCCCAGCAGCUGCAAGCCGGCCUGCCUGUGGUUCCCUAAAGAUCAGGACGGAUGGGGAAAAGCGCCCUUCUUAGGUGAAAGCAUCAGCUCGUUUCUACGUGUCAGCACUGGGAGAAGAUGUGGGGUCAGUGUCUUCACCAGGGAGCUGGUGCGAGGAUCAGCCCGUGAGAUGACAGACUCGGCGCCCUGCCAGAUGCUGUAAAGCGUGGAACUGUGUCAUCGAUGGUUAAGGAGAAAACAGGGUUUUGCAAAGGCACAACUAGAAGGAUGAAGGUGGCUGAAUAUUUGUCUUCUGAGUGAUACGGACUUUCCUUGAAGAAUGGCGCAUUUACGAGUGUCAGCCUGCCACCCGUUACUGCGAUUAGGUUCUUCAGCAACCGAGGAGGAAUGAGGAGGACUCAGACGGAUUUCGAAGAAUGGCAUGACUAAUGUACAAACAAGAGUGAAAGGGAGUGUUGGAAAAACUCAGGGACACUGAAGACUGAAGUGGGUUGAAAACAAAUCAGAACGUGAGUUCUCCCACUUGAGUGCGAGCAGAAUUUGUUUUUCAGAAGUAAUUUUUAAGGAUUCACUUGGAGAAGGAAGAGGGAUUUUCCUUUACGCUUUUGGAUCGGAUGGCUCUGUGUUGCGAACGGUUUUCUCGCGGCCUUCAAGAAUUUGUUUGGUACCCACUUGUUCAAAACCCAAGGGCAAACAGCCAAGUCCCCUUAAAGCUGUCCGCCCGGGACUACGGGAGUCAGUUUGAAACGUCUUCGUUUUAAGAAGGUGGCAGAAUUACAUAAUUAUUCACAGCUCAUAAGAAAUUAAAAUACCUCUUCCAAAUAUGAAGUCGCGAGAUAACACAAACCACAAGUCCUAGACUCUCGGAGGGCGUGUGCCUCGUUUGUGCUCCCACACACAAACCCACAGCCGACCGUCUGCGCUGAGAGCACGUGGCCCCACUGAGAGCACGUGGCCACGCUGACCUCGCUUCCCUCGUGUUCCUCCGCACACAGCAGGGCUCUUGCCCAGGGCCUCCCUUGGCGACGCCGAGGGACCGAAGAUGCCAAAUGCUGGAGAGGCGGGAGGUCACCACAAGGCACCUGGGACCACAGACGCACUCUCUUCCACUCAUGGCCAGGGUGCACGAGGUGAGGAACCACCGAGAAAGUCCUAACACCAGGGCUCAGGGAGAUGGGUGGGGUGGAGGGGCGCUGGAGGAACCGUCACAUGGGCCCCAGCAUAACUUUAAAAAUCCCAGCACCUCAUUUAACCAGAUUCAUUCUGCAAGCUGAUUAUUGCCUUUGGUGGAUACCGUGUCACGCAGUCUCAUUUUAAGGAUCUGCCUUGCAUCUGUCCAGGACGGGGAACCCCAGGGUUCCAAGGCAAAGCAGCUGGGUUCUUGCCUGCAAGGGGCUUAUCUCACUAGCUGGGCGGUCAGACGCAUGAACCACCAGGAGCUGGGCUGGUACAGUGCCCGGUGGUCAGGAAAGAACGUGCAGGGAGGGCAGGGGCCGGAAGCACCAGGGGUUUGAGCCCUGCAGUGUGCAGCGUGUGUGAGCCGAGACUAGAGGACCUGGGAGAACUUCCUGUUUGGUAAAAGGCACGGAGGGUGUAGGGCUGCAGAGGUGGGGGGACCUGGUGACUUUGGCGGGCUUUGUGUGCUGUCUUGAGGGGUUGGGACUGCCCAGGGGGUCCUGGUGACCAUUGCCAAAGCAAGGUAUGGGUGACAGAAGCCUUGCUGUGUUGGGCAGAGGAGUGAGGGGUAGAUUUUUGAGGAUGGUGGCUGUGACUUCUGCCUCCUGGAGUCACCCGUAGUGCCCACAGUGAGUCCCCAACGAAUUGGAAGUACCUUCUUCUAUGUCCAUAGACUUUCAUGAGCAGUGCUCUGAAAACCAACCUUAUCUUAACUCAGUUUUAGUGGCACAUAAUCUUAACUUGGGAAGUAGGCUUAUGAACUCGACCAAAAAGGAGCAAGGGACCAACCCCAGAGCUAUCCAACCUGCUUUUCCUUCUAUAGGGGAAGGGGCUUCAUAGCAUCAUCCCCCGCCACUGCCCCUCUCCCCGAAAGCAUCUUAGCUUUGAGUUGCAUGUUAACUGCCUAGGACACAAAAUUCGAGCAACAGUUCCCACCACACUCCACCAAAUACCUACCGUCCACCAGAAGCCCACAGUGUGUGGCUGCAGCCCUUCGGGAGCUCAUGGUCUAGAUUGUUUGCUCAAUGUGGCGGAAACUGGACAAGAUUGGAGUUCUGAAGAGAUGAUACUCACAGACGAGGAAUGUCCGUACCAUCCUGUUUGUGUUUGGAAAUUUUUUAAGAGACCAGAGAACUAAGGGGACAGGCCACAAUACAACAGUUAUUCUAAGCACAGGGGACCAGCCUCGGCACUCCCACCUGCGGAAAAUUAACUAGCCACUGCCAGUAACUCCGACAGUGAAGGGGUUAAAAUAACAAAUAAAUGACUUUAUUU